AUGUCCAUCCGGGCGUUCGCCCCGGAGGAUUUCUUAGUCUUCUGCUCUGAUCUGCCGACAAGAAACCUGCUCAUCAAUGGUGGACGUGCCUACGGGCCGUGGUUUACACUCUCCCUCAAGCCGUGGACGCGUCAGGCUCAGGCCACCGCAAUCUCCUUGCCCUACCUGGUGCCUCUUGAUCUCUUGGGGGUGCCGGCUCAUGCCUGGAGCCAGUGCGCCGCCGACGUGAUUCUGGAUGGCUGUGGAUUCGUCGUUGAUGUGUCUGAGCCGACCCUGCGGCGCAAUGACAUGUCGCGGUUCCAUGUCUGGCUUCGCACAAACUCCCCCGAGCGCAUUCCAUCUCGUCGGUUGUUGUUCAUCGAGGAGCAGGCUCCACCAGCAAGACCCCGUGACCGCCACCGUGCUACUCUUGGUGGACGUCGUACCAAGACUCUCCGCUACCCCAUCACCAUCAUCCCCGUUGCUGAGCCGGUGGCUGCCCUCUCGUCGGACGAGCGAUCCCCUUCCCCGUCACCGCCGCCGCCCCCUCCUCCCCCUUCGUCGCCACGCUCGUCUGGAUCCUCAUCUCCCCGCUCGUCCCUUAUGAACCGGCAUGGGCCCCUGGAUCAUGGUGCCAGGUCGCACCAGGGCUCUGCUCGGAGUUGUGGUGGUGCUUUUGGACGGCAGUUGGCGGUGGCCGGCGGCGAGUCUGGAGUCCCAGUCGGCGGCGGCUCCCAUGGUGAGGUUCAAACUGUGGUCGUUGGUGGGGUCUGCCUUGCUCUGGACGGAUGUGCGUCAUCCACUGUGGGGGACAGUUGGGCGGGCUCCACCCCGGUCAGCACGGUCGGUCUGGUCCAGCGGAUCAGGCCGGUCGGGUCAGAGCAGGGGUCCACCUCGGAUCCCACCAGUGAGUUCCUAAUUGGCGAACAGAGCAUGGCAGAGCAGCAACGGUCGGCCCAGUCGCCUGCGUCUGUCUCCAUGCCACAUAGGGACCACGCGGACCAGGACUCGUUCGUUGGCGCCAUCUGCGGACCGGAGUUUCGGGAUUCCGACUCACCAAUUGCAGCGGCAUGUGCCUCUCCAUCGGUCGCUGCUAGUCUGCUGCCUACCUUAUCUGCUCAAGCAGGAUCUGAUUCUGUGGGCCCGAGUGCAUGCACUCUGCAUGCGGCUGACGCGUGCUCGCAUUCUAGUGGAGCCAACGGUAGCGAGCCAUGCAUUGCUGUAGACGGAUCCCCCACGUCGCCGCUACCGUCUACUCAGGACCGUUUUGCCCUGGUUACUUCUGAUGCCUCGCCGUCUUUUGUGGGAUUAGGGCACACAUCGAAGAUCCUCUCCUUCCACUUCCCACUGCCCAACGUGGGAAGCGCGCGCGCAUCUCUGUCCUGGAAGACCAGUUGCGGCGAAGUGCAAGAAUCGCUAAAGUUACCAAGGGGCUGCCAUCAUCCUAUGUGCAACGCGCGCUACGUGUUCUCAUGGCCAGACUGGGCUGACGACGAGCCAUCUGUGGACUGCUUGGCAAGAUAUGCUGACCUGUUCAAAGACCCACUGCCCCCAUCUAGCAUUGACGCGCUAACUAAACUAUUCGCUCUGGAGCCAUUCGCGCUGGCGGCGCUGAUGGGGUCUAAACUGGCUGCAGUGGACAGGUUCACCAUCUCAAGGGUUCUCGGCGCGUGGUAUGACUCCUUCCUUGCGCUGCCUGCCGUCAACACUGCUGGUGGAAUCAUCGUAGCCUGGCAGUCCACAUUGGUCAGCGUCUCCUCUUCUAGGGUUGACACGUUCUCGGUGACUGUGGAGCUCGGCUUGCUGGAUGCACCAAGUUGGAAUCUCACAAAGGAGGGAUCCGAAGCCACUUCCCAACAAGCCAUGGACGAACUUGCCGCAGGUCAUUUCGGCAAGUUAAUUGGCACCCCGGGGCAACGCCAGCAUUGCUUGAAUCUUCAACACCUGGACCUCCCUCUCGUGGACACAGCGCGUCUUGAGCGUGACUUCUCUGACAGUGAAAUCUGUACUACAAUCAGCUCUUUGCCGCCUGACAAAGCCCCGGGGCCGGACGGCUUCUCCUUGCGUUUCUACCAGUCUUGCUGGCCAACAAUCAAAGAGGAGGUUUGCAAAGCUAUUCGCACUUUCAGCUCUGGUGAUGGCCGUGGCAUUGCUCGUCUGAACGAGGCAUACAUCACCCUGCUGCCGAAGAAGCCAGGGGCAGUGGACAUUAGGGAUUUCAGGACAACCAGUUUGAGCAAUCUCUUCAAGCCUCUGUGCCGCUGGGGUAUCAAGCACCACCUAUCCGUCUACGCUGAUGAUGCCGUUUUGCUCAUCAGGCCUGAUGUGAUCGAAGCAAAAGCAGCCGUGCAACUUUUGACUGCGUUCGGGCACGCCACUGGUCUGUCUUGCAACAUGGCUAAAAGCUCUAUCUCGCUGAUCCAUUGCAGGCAGGAGGACAUUCAUCAAGUUACAGCCACCCUCGGCUGCUCCAUCAAGGAUUUUCCACUAACCUAUCUGGGGUUGCCACUGUCUGUUACUCGGCUGCCCAAAUCUUCUCUCCAACCACUUAUUGACAGAACCGCAGACUACUUACCCACCUGGAAAGCAUGCUACCUCCGUCGGGGCGGGAGGCUUACCUUAUUCAACUCAACGCUCACCGUUGCUUCCAUCUUCUUAAUACUAGUGCUUGAUCUGCCGGCGUGUGCUGGAUUACAUUGCUUGCUUGGGAAUGGCAACAACAUCAGAUUCUGGACAGACCCAUGGAUUAACGGUGCUAGUCUUCAGCAGCUCGCCUCGUCCCUGCUGAAGUUUGUUCGGCCUGUCGCUCUGCAGAGAUUUGUUGCAGACAGUCUGCCAAAUGGGGUGUGGAUCAAUGACCUGCGCGGGAACCUCGACAUUCAUGCCAUUGCGGACGUCCUAAAAAUCUGGCCUCUUAUCACCGGACAGAGCUUGUCGGAGCAGCCAGACACAUUCAGAUGGAGGCAAACGACGGAUGGAUUAUAUUCAGCAAGUAGUGCUUAUCACCUCUUCUUCUUAGGCCGUGAGUUUCUUCCUGGUGCUGCCGAGCUGUGGACAUCAUGGGCACCCCUAGAAACAAAGAUCUUUGUCUGGCUGACCCUCCAUGAUCGGCAAUGGACUGCGGAUCGCCUUGCAAGGCGACAGCUCGAGCACCCGAACUACUGCAUGCUUUGUGCACAAGAGGAUGAGAACCUGAAUCACAUGCUGCUCGGUUGCUCAUUUGCCAGGGAAGUUUGGUAUAACAUCCUACUCCCAUGGCGCUUGCAUAGAAGAACUCCAACCCUAACCGACACUAUCAACGAGUGGUGGUCGGCGCUAAGCAACGCGGUUCCCAGUAGAAGUCAUCGCAAAGUUAACACCAUGGUCUGUCUCGUGCUCCGAUUCAUCUGGCUUGAGCGUAACAAGAGGGUUUUUGAGAAAAGUGCUCUCAUGCCGCAUGUGGUAGUUAGCAAUAUCCAAAGCGAGUUUCAACUGUGGAUUAGAGCCAAACUAGGUGGGAUGGCGCGAGAUGUAACGUAG
rnacentral:rRNA from 1 species